CCUACGGGAGGCAGCAGUGAGGAAUAUUGGUCAAUGGACGAGAGUCUGAACCAGCCAAGUAGCGUGAAGGAUGACUGCCCUAUGGGUUGUAAACUUCUUUUAUAUGGGAAUAAAACGUUCCACGUGUGGGAUUAUGUAUGUACCAUAUGAAUACGGAUCGGCUAACUCAGUGCCAGCAGCCGCGGUAAUACGGAGGAUCCGAGCGUUAUCCGGAUUUAGUGGGUUUAAAGGGAGCGAAGGUGGAUUUGUAAGUCAGUUGUGAAAGUUUGUGGCUCAACCGUAAAAUUGCAGUUGAAACUGGCAGUCUUGAGUACAGUAGAGGUGGGCGGAAUUCGUGGUGUAGCGGUGAAAUGCUUAGAUAUCACGAAGAACUCCGAUUGCGAAGGCAGUCCACUGGACUGCAACUGACACUGAGGCUCGAAAGUGUGGGUAUCAAACAGGAUUAGAUACCCGUGUAGUC
rnacentral:rRNA from 1 species